UACGUAGGCAGCAAGCGUUGUUCGGAAUUACUGGGCGUAAAGGGUGCGUAGGCGGCUUUUUAAGUUUGGUGUGAAAUCUCCCGGCUCAACUGGGAGGGUGCGCCGAAUACUGAGAAGCUAGAGUGUGGGAGAGGAAAGUGGAAUUCCUGGUGUAGCGGUGUAAUGCGUAGAUAUCAGGAGGAACACCGGUGGUGUAAACGGCUUUCUGGACCAUAACUGACGCUGAGGCACGAAAGCGUGGGUAGCAAACAGG
rnacentral:rRNA from 1 species